rnacentral:rRNA from 1 species
GCGUUGAAAAGCUCGGGGAUGACUUGUGGGUAGCGGUGAAAUUCCAAUCGAGCCCGGAGAUAGCUGGUUCUCCCCGAAAUAGCUUUAGGGCUAGCCUCAAGGUGAGAGAUACGGAGGUAGAGCACUGAAUGUCCUAGGGGGUAUUGCACCUACCGAAGACUAUCAAACUCCGAAUGCCGUCAUCUUAUACUUGGGAGUCAGACUGUGGGUGAUAAGAUUCAUAGUCGAAAGGGCAACAGCCCAGAUCGUCAGCUAAGGUCCCUAAAUGUAAGUUAAGUGGUAAAGGAUGUGGGAUUGCACAGACAACCAGGAUGUUGGCUUAGAAGCAGCCACUCAUUCAAAGAGUGCGUAAUAGCUCACUGGUCGAGUGAUCCUGCGCCGAAGAUUUCCGGGGCUAAAACUUACUACCGAAGCUACGGCAUCAGUAAUGAUGGGUAGGGGAGCUUCCCAUACGGGUUGAAGCAUGACCGUAAGGACAUGUGGACAGUAUGGGAGUGAGAAUGUUGGCAUGAGUAGCGAGAUGUGGGUGAGAAUCCCACAGGCCGUAAACCCAAGGUUUCCAGGGGAAGGUUCGUCCGCCCUGGGUUAGUCGGGACCUAAGCUGAGGCCGAAAGGCGUAGGUGAUGGACAACAGGUUGAUAUUCCUGUACUACCGAUAACCGUUUGAGAGAAGGGAUGACACAGUAGGAUAAGCUAAGCACACUGUUGGUUAUGUGUGCCCAAGCAUUGAGGCAGUCAAAGUAGGCAAAUCCGCUUUGAUAAUGCUGGGAUGUGAUGGGGAGCGAAAUUUAGUAGCGAAGUAGCUGAUUUCACACUGUCAAGAAAAGUCUCUAUCGAGGUUAAAGGUACCCGUACCGCAAACCGACACAGGUGGGUGAGGAGAGUAUCCUAAGGCCAGCGAGAGAACUGUUGUUAAGGAACUCGGCAAAAUGACCCCGUAACUUAGGGAUAAGGGGUGCCACCAUCAGGUGGCCGCAGAGAAUAGGCCCAAGCGACUGUUUACCAAAAACAUAGGUUUCUGCUAAGUCGCAAGACGAUGUAUAGGAGCUGACGCCUGCCCGGUGCUGGAAGGUUAAGGGGAUCUGUUAGAGCAAUCGAAGCAGUGAACUUAAGCCCCAGUAAACGGCGGCCGUAACUAUAACGGUCCUAAGGUAGCGAAAUUCCUUGUCGGGUAAGUUCCGACCCGCACGAAAGGCGUAACGAUUUGGGCACUGUCUCAACAACAGACUCGGUGAAAUUGUAAUUCCGGUGAAGAUGCCGGAUACCUGCGACAGGACGGAAAGACCCCAUGGAGCUUUACUGUAGCUUGACAUUGGGUCUUGGUACUACAUGUACAGGAUAGGUGGGAGGCUUUGAAACCAGGACGCCAGUUUUGGCGGAGCCAUCCUUGGGAUACCACCCUUGUAGUACUGGGACUCUAACCAUAGGCCAUGAAUCUGGUCUUGGGACACUGUCAGGUGGGCAGUUUGACUGGGGCGGUCGCCUCCCAAAAGGUAACGGAGGCGCUCAAAGGUUCUCUCAGUACGGUCGGAAAUCGUACGUAGAGUGUAAAGGCAAAAGAGAGCUUGAUUGCAAGACAUACAGGUCGAGCAAGGAUGAAAAUCGGACUUAGUGAUCCGGUGGUUCUGCGUGGAAGGGCCAUCGCUCAACGGAUAAAAGCUACCCUGGGGAUAACAGGCUUAUCUCCCCCAAGAGUCCACAUCGACGGGGAGGUUUGGCACCUCGAUGUCGGCUCAUCACAUCCUGGGGCUGUAGUAGGUCCCAAGGGUUGGGCUGUUCGCCCAUUAAAGUGGUACGCGAGCUGGGUUCAGAACGUCGUG